AGCCAGUGCAUUCCUAGCUCCCCUUACACAGAGACAGACACAGUUAGAGGGAAGACACGCUGGGUCUCGGCUCGGCUCUUCUCCGCACCAGGUGCCCUGUAGAUUUUGCAGAGAGGAAUGCUGGAUAUCCAAGGGUCUAGGGCCUGCCGGGAAAGGCAGGCGGUAGCUCAGGAAGAAGAUGGUGUGGAGCUGUGGAUGGGCUGAGGCGAGGCGAGGGAAGACGGCCGCGCAGAGCGCGCUCUGACCGGGCGCACGCAGCGAGUGGACGCUGAUGGAGCGGCCGCUGGAGGAGAGCGCGCACGGGGAGAUGCGCGUGUGACGUUCCGCUGUCAGUCAAAGUGACUGUUUUUUCUUCCAAGCAUGGCGGUGAUAAUUGGAUUGUGUGGACACCUGUAUGAGUGCAGUAUAUCCAGGGGAUUAGAGGAUGUGAUGGAUGUUGCAGGUUCUGUCCGAACCCGUGGCUGCAUGCGCCUGCAACGCUUACCUACAGGUCACCUACGGGAGGGUCAGACCUGCAGGCGUCAUCAACUUUGACCUUAGGAUUGUUCUGUUGUUGGGUUUGUGUACAUUGACCAAGUUAUUAAGCAUCAAUCUGGUUUCCACUCUCCACUGUCCACUACAUUGGUCAGGAAUGGUUUUGUGCCUUCUGUUUCCAGUUGAUUUCCCAGAUGGAGUUUGGGCUCUUUUUGUAAAUGCAGAAACAGAAGACCGGAGCCAAAUUCACACAUUCUGCAAACAUAAAGAUUGACUUCAAUCCAAAAUCUAAAAGACAGUCAUGGGAGUGAUUUAACCAGCGUAUGAUCUCCAAUUCUGAUCACAUUCAAUCAGAAACUGUCUCAUGGGAUAAUCUUUUUGGAAUAGCAAUACAUGUGCUGAAAAAAGUCCUCACUUUUACAUUUAUGCAUUUUUAUUCAUGCAUUUGGUGGAUACUUUGAUCCAAAGCAACGUAAUUUGUUGCAUGGCCAAUGUCACUCAUGACAUCUCGUUCUUAAGGGCUUCUGGGUGGUUUGUUACUGCAUGCUUGCUUUAUUGCAUUGGCACUGGGUGUGUUGAGCAGUCUCAUGAUCCAACUGGACAUCGACCCAAAACAGAACUUUUAUGUCCAUUAGAGAGGAAUGUGGCCGCAAGCUCUUGUGAGAUAAACCAUGCAGGGAAAAACGUGCACCAUCCUUCCCUGUCAGUUACCCACGCCAUCCUUGUGCUCCCAUUCAUGGAAUCUCUCUAAUGAGAGUGGAAAUGUCAGCUAUGAUACACUCGGAGAGAAAAAGAGAAACAGGGCGACGUACAAAGGGCUUUUAUGCAGCCUGCCUAGUAUUUUCUCCACGCCUGUAUUCCGGCCGCUUUGUGACUUGAUUAGUGGAUCCUCUCACAGAUUUUCACACGUGAAUUUGCUUGGGGAUUAUUUUUAGUAAGGAACAAUCAGCCUACAUUGCUUGGAGUGGUGUGUUACACCAGACUGUCAAACUGUUGAGGAUAACAGACAAACAUGUGCAAAACCUGAAAUAUACAUCAUUAAACUAAACAAUAACUAAAUUAUUGCCAUAGUUAUGCAAUGUUCUACACAUGGGUUACUCAACAGUCACCAUGCAAACCGUGAUGCACGUUACUCAAGCCGCGAUGAUAUUGUCCAUGUGUAGCUCACUGUACAGGGCUUAUUGUUUGAGAUGGAGUGAAUGCGUGAACACUGGUAAUGAAAUCUCCUUCCAGUUAUUUUCCAACUACAAAGAGGGAGAGGUGAUCUUAGGUGCCACGCUGGACAUGAUCAAUCAAACCCAGACAGUUCCCUCAGGACAGAGUCGAAGGUCCAUCCACCUGUCUCACUUUUGAAGAUACAGUAUCCGUAUGUAUUCUCUGUGAGCACAGGACAGCUUCUAACGCCCAUGUUUCUCAUCAUUAUAGAAGAUAGAAAACUGGUUAUCAAGCUGCAGAAUAGUUCAGUUUGUCAAAUGCACAUGUAUUUACAAUGGGUGUCUAUGAAGCAAUGCAGAAAUAUGAAGCUUGUGUUCUUGUUGAAUCGUUUAUGUUAAUGCUUGCGUGUUAUUUGAGCUGUAAGGUUGUUUAAAGCAUUUUUCUAGUGGCAGGAUUAUUUUAUUUGGCAUUAGCACGGUUGUUGUAUGUAACUCCUGUUUUGGCAGAAAAAUGGCACAUUCUUACAUUCUACAAUGCUGUCAUUGAAAAGAGAUUAGGUGUUAAAGAAGCAAAUGUGUUUUAAUAAAAAUAAUUAAGUUGAUCAACUUCAAUGUACUUGAUUUACCAUUUUUGAUUGGUACUUGAUUUACGUUUAUUCAAAGCAACUUACAGUGCAUUCAAGCUAUAUAGUUUAUCAGUUUUAUGUAAAUCCAGAAGAAAGGCAAACACAUUCUGAAAACAACGAUCUAAUGUGAUUGGCUGGCCUUAGGGAACGAGAGUUGAUUUUUUUGUGUCUGUGUAAUAACUUUCAUUAAGUUGGCGCGUGUUUACCAUAUGAGUGUUUAUGUGUUAUUGUGGUAGCAAAUAUUUAGUGUAAAUUACUGUAAAUUACUGCAAACCCAAUACUGUACACUUCAGAUUAAAGUAAAACUAACUACUUUAUAUGAAUAAUCAACAGUAUAGCUGCAUGUGACUGCUUUUAGGCUGUUUUCAAGGCUUUACUACAGUCAGAGCCAAAUUAUAUAAAUAAUUAAUGAUCUUUUUCAGUUUUAAAACGUUCAUACUGGUAAUUGUAUAAAACAUCAAAUUUCAUAAAACUAUAAGCUCAUUUGAGAGGUUUAACAGAUGAACAGUCACCUGUGAUCACUGGCAGGUGCAUGACGGUUAAAAAUAUAGUUUAAGUUGACGUGAUGUCAUGUUGACGUGUUCCAUGUGUUUUUUAAGACAAGAGGGCGCCACAGUUUUUAGAGGCAGAUGCUAACAAACGAGUUCUCGUUGACGUUAUAGCUUAACGGUUAUUUUCCUAAAAACACUAUUGGUUGUCUGUUACUCUUAUAUCAUUUUUUAUUAUAUUAUAAUAUAGUAUAUUAUUUUAUAUUAUAUUACUUAUAUACUUAUAUGCUACUUUCUUAUAUGUUUAAUGUAUCAUUCUGCUCUUUAUUUUCUCAUGCCAAAAUGAAUUUGCUACAAAUGAAAUAAAAUAUUUUGUAGUUCAAUAGUUAAAUUGUUUACUUUUGUGGCAAGUAGGCAUGUGAUAAGUGGGAUAAUGUAUAUUCAACCUUCUGUUUUGUGUUGGGGUCCUGCUCAAACUCUCGGGCUUUACUUUGCCAAGCAGCUGGAUGCACAUUUUCUCCCAACUAAGUAAAAU